CUCCCCUCUCAGUGACAGCCGCCGCUGGGCACCUCAGCAGAGAGAUGAACCCCACCGUCAGCAUCGCUGUCAUCCUGACAGUCCUCCAGGCUGCCCACUGCCAGAUGAUCAAGGACCUGAGUGCCUGCUUGCUGGGCCAGAGCCUCCGGGUGGACUGCCGUUAUGAGAACAAAACCAGCAACCCCUUGACCUAUGAGUUCAGCAUCACCAAGGACAACAGGAAGCACGUCAUCCACAGCACCAUCAGUGUUUCCGAGAACAUCUACCGGAGCCGAGCCAAUGUCACCAUGCACAAGAACCUGGUGUGCCUCUACCUGCAGAGCUUCACCACUAGCGAUGAGGGUGUCUACAUGUGCGAGCUGAAGGCCACCAACGACUACACCGGCAACCAGAUAAAGAACAUCACUGUCAUCAAAGACAAACUGGAGAAAUGCGCCGGCUUCAGCCUCUUGAUCCAGAACACUUCGUGGCUCCUGCUGCUUCUCCUUUCCCUGCCUCUCCUGCAAGCCGUGGACUUCGUGUCCCUGUGAAAGGAAAAGCACACAUACACACGCACGCACACACUCACGCACGCACACACCGAAUACCCCAGCAAACCCGCCUCCCCCGCAGCAUUGCUUCUCCCAUCGCACCUCCCCGCUCGGUAGGCUGACUGGUUUGCGCAUGCUGGGAGCACUGGAGCCUCAGCCCCGCACAGCCCGCUUCUCCCAUCCCUUUAACUUUUGGGGUUUGCCUGUUCUCAACUGG